AUUACUUCAGCAAAAUUACAGUACAUUAUCAGCGAAGUGUCAGAAGAUGGCAGCCAAUUUCUGCUGUCGGGUCAGGAUAUUCUGGAUCUUCCUCAUUUGAAAAGAACAAAAACUCUCAGAGAAGGAAAUGAGAUGUAAUGCACAGCUGUUGUCUGGGCGGCUACUACAGAAGUUACAGAAGAUUUACUUAGACCAGCCUGGGCUGAUAGGGGAACAUUGGGCUUCAGCACUGUGGGUGCACUCUGAGGAUCGGUCAAACAACAGCUGG
rnacentral:lncRNA from 1 species